rnacentral:rRNA from 1 species
UACAGAGGGUGCAAGCGUUAAUCGGAAUUACUGGGCGUAAAGCGUGUGUAGGCGGUAUGUCAAGUUAGAUGUGAAAUCCCUGGGCUCAACCCGGGAAUGGCAUCUGAUACUGGCAUGCUAGAGUCAAGUAGAGGGGAGUGGAAUUUCCGGUGUAGCGGUGAAAUGCGUAGAUAUCGGAAAGAACACCAGUGGCGAAGGCGGCUCCCUGGACUUAGACUGACGCUGAGGCACGAGAGCGUGGGGAGCAAACAGG